AUGAAAGACCUUGGAUUGACAGCCUCGAUACUGAACAAUUUAAUGCAUGGAAUAGAUGCCAUAUGAGUUUUGCUUCAAUCUUAACAGAGAGCAACCCUCUCUAGAGGUGAGAGGGAAGUGCAGUCCCUACUCGCAUUCAAUCCUUGGCACCU
rnacentral:sRNA from 1 species